rnacentral:rRNA from 1 species
GACGAACGCUGGCGGCGUGCUUAACACAUGCAAGUCGAACGAUGAAGCUAGAGCUUGCUCUGGUGAAUUAGUGGCGAACGGGUGAGUAACACGUGAGUAACCUGCCCCGAACUCUGGAAUAACUGCUGGAAACGGUAGCUAAUACUGGAUACGACCUACGAAGGCAUCUUCUGGAGGUGGAAAGAAUUUCGGUUCGGGAUGGACUCGCGGCCUAUCAGCUUGUUGGUGAGGUAAUGGCUCACCAAGGCGACGACGGGUAGCCGGCCUGAGAGGGUGACCGGCCACACUGGGACUGAGACACGGCCCAGACUCCUACGGGAGGCAGCAGUGGGGAAUAUUGCACAAUGGGCGCAAGCCUGAUGCAGCAACGCCGCGUGAGGGAUGACGGCCUUCGGGUUGUAAACCUCUUUUAGUAGGGAAGAAGCGAAAGUGACGGUACCUGCAGAAAAAGCACCGGCUAACUACGUGCCAGCAGCCGCCGUAA